CUGGUUUUGAGUGCUUAAGUUGGGGAAAAUGGAGAGAAGAUAUUUGUUUGCUUGAUUCCACAUGACAACUCCAGGGUAACUGAAUAGACUGUACGGUUGGUUUGACAAGGCUGUGCACUGAGCCAGCAGCCUCGCAUACCAGAGGCAGGGGGAUGGAAGGGGGACUGACAACUGUAAUGGAUUUUAUAAGAAUUUCUCUAAAGAGCAACAAUUUGACUUCAAUUAUUAAUGUUUUUCAGAGGUUUCUCUUCUGAGAGUGUCUUUCAUCCAAGACAUCCAAAGCACUUCAUACAGUCCAGUGUAUUAAGCAUGGCAACAUGUCUGCGAGAUUGGGGCCAAGGAAGUCUUGAAAUAUGCCCUAGAUUUAUUCUUCAUAUUAGAUUGAUUGCUAGUCCACAGGAUUGUUUCCAUUCUGUCCUCAUCUGAAUCAUUCAUGGACAUGGUGCAUGCAGAGGUCUAGCUGAGUGGCAGUGAAUGCAGCCAUGCAUCACCUGUUUGGGCUGGUUUUGGCACAAAAGGACCUUUCACGUGCAGGGGAUCUUUUCUCAUUAGAGGAUGCUGAAAUUGAAGGAAGCCUCUCAGAAGCUCUUGAACAAAUAAGAAUAAUUAGUUCAUCUGCGGACUACCAGACCAAUGACAAUGACCAGGCUGUGGUGGAAAUCUGCAUCACUCGCAUCACCACUGCCAUUAGGGAGACGGCAUCCAUAGAAAAGCAUGGGAAAGCCCUUGUGGCUCUCUGGGAGUCAUGUCUAGAGCACAACCUGAAGCCUUCUGGGAAAGAUGAGGAUGCACCACAUGCAAAAAUUGCAUCUGAUAUCAUGAGCUGUAUCUUGCAGAAUUACAACCAACCUCCAGUAAUGGCCUUAGCUGUUCCAGUGGCAGUGAAAUUUCUUCAGAGGGGCAAUAAGGAAUUGUGCAGAAACAUGUCAAGUUAUCUAUCCUUGGCUGCAAUCGCUAAAGCAGAUCUGCUGGCUGAUCACACUGACACCAUUGUCAACAGUGUCCUUCAAGGGAAUUCGAUGCUGCUGCGUGUCCUGCCUGCUCUGUACGAGAACCAACCGCAGCCGAUAGCCCUCCAUCUGAGGGAGCUGGUGGCACUGAUGGCUCAGCUGGAUCAAGCUGAACAACACCAUCUCCUCAGGCUGCUCCAGACCGUGGCUAGGAAAAAGGAACUUGGGGUGCUGGAAGAGUGUAUACCGUUUCUAUUUGGACACUUGAGAGACCUUAACCAUAGUGACAUUAUUCUAAACAUACUUAUAGAAAUAUCCAACUAUGAGCCAACAGCCUUAGCCACUUUUCUUCCAGUGCUAAAAGAAAUUGGUGAGAGUUUUCCAUGUUUGAUUGGGCAAACAGCAAAGAUCUUUGGAGCUGUUGGGCGUAUUGAUGAGGAGCGAGCCAGAAUAUGCCUGAUGUAUUUGGUGAACCAGCUGGCCAACAUGGAGCACUCAUUUCACCAUAUUCUUUUACUGGAAAUUAAGAGUCUCACUGACACUUUCUCAAGCAUCUUGGGCGCUCAGAGCAGAGAUAUCUACCGCAUGAGCAACAGUUUCACAGCCAUAGCCAAGCUCCUCGUCCAACAGCUAGAGAAUGAUAAUAUGUCUGGAGCCAGGGUGGAAAAUGAUACUGAAACAGAAUCUCCUGUACCACUGGAUGAUUUAAAAUCUGUUAUGAAUGGAAAUGAAGAGGAUGAAAAGCUUCAAGUUAAAAUACAGGCUUUUGAGGAGAAAAUAAAUGUCGACAACGGUACUCUUGGCUCAGUGCGGAGAUACAGUUUAGGCCAAGUUUCUAAAGAAGAAAGGAAAGAUAUGAGAUUUAACAGGUCCAAAAGCCUCGCUUUGCAUGCACUCCGCAUGAAGGGGGUAAAUUCAGAGGGUGGACAGGAUGAGGACAGUGCGGAGAUAACUGCUGGUAUCUCCUUCUCCGAGAUCUACAUUAGCCAAGAAAAUGACAAAUUGCCAUUCAGUGUUGAUACUGAAGCAAUGCAACUGGGAAAUUCUUUGGUUUCACACCAAAGUAUCGAUUACGUGGAAUCAGCAAAUUUGCCAGAGUCUACUAAAGAAAAGGCCCUCGAAGGAAACACAGAGGCAGUGAUGAGCCCCAAGGAAUACCACGAUAAGCUCUACUUGCACUUGAAGGAAAACCUGGGUAAAGUGAAAGCAUAUGUCACAGAGAUGGGGAGAAAAAUGCCUAUCCCUGAUCAGUGCGUUAUUGAAGAUACUGUUAGAAGCUGCGUAGCAAAGCUGUUCUUCAGCUGUCCCCUGAAGGGCCAUUACUGCCUGUACAGUAAAUCCAGUUUUACCCUCAUCAGCCAGCAGCCUUCACUGUGGAUCCAUAUCAUGUUCCUCUUCCAGCAGAGCUUGUUUGCAGAACCUUUGUCUAUACAGAGUAAUUGUGUGCAAGUCCUUAAAGCCCUGUGGGAGAAGACACAGCUUAAGGGGACGCAUAGUUUUGAAACUGCCAUGAUUCAGUCUACAUUUCCACAUCAAAAGAUACAGGAGGAAGAUUAGAGCGCGCUGGGGCAGGGUGCACUGCUGGCCAUGCUCCGCUCUGCCAUCGCCUUCUUCAAAGGAAAUCUGCCCCUCCACUGGGAGCCUGAAGUAGGGAGGAGACCGUGGCGGGCUGGUGUGUUCUGUCCCUCCAGCCCAGGGAGGAUCUACUGGGGAUCCUACACCAUGCACAAAGUAUCUGAAGGGAGGCAGGGAUCCACUACAGACUGAGCAGCUGGAGAAACGCGGAGAGAAGCUGCACAGCGCUCCUGCUGUACAACACAGCAGCCAGCUAAAUUUCUUGAAUAUGUAGAAUUCCUUUUUGGAGGAAAAUAAGAACUUCAGCAAUAAGAACACCCAGCAAUGUAUAAAGAGCAGUUAUAGAGCAAAAUAACCAAGUUUUAUCUGUGACUGCCAGUACAAGCCAGUUUGAGUGUGCUGGGUCGGGGCAGCCCAGCAGCUGACUGCACGGAGGUAUGGAUGUAGCACUGACUCCAGCGAACAUGCGCAGGAGGCAUAAGGAAUUGCACAGUUGAGUGUUACAAGGGAGCUCACCAAGGCAGCCAGGGAGAGCAGGGGACCUCUCUGCUGCAGCCUCGCCACUCAUCUCCCACAUGGCCACAGAUUGAAGAGCUGGGUUGUGAGGCUGCUGCCCUGCGGCACCUUCUUGCAAACAAAGCCAACGUGUGUCCAAGACCUUCGUUGUGUGAUCACUGUCUUCCCAUGUGUUAUGAAGCCCAUUUCUCUGCAUGUUGCUUCUGGAAAGGGAAGAAAACCUUUGUUGUUUGGAGCUUCUCCGAUGACGUGAGCCAUGCUUCCCAUUCUGCCUUGCCAUCCUUCUUUCAGACAGCCUAAAACACAUUGGGAGAUGGCUUCUGUCAUGCCAUCAGACGGUGGCAUCUGAGAGCUCCCGUUAAGCUAAAACUGAACAUUUGGCUCACCUGAGCUUGUUGUCUAGGGCAACGUCCAGAGGUCUGAAGUGGUCUUGGGUGUUUCGGUUCUUGUGAAAACAGCUGUUUCCUGGCCGUUUCCUGGGUAGAAAGAGGCUGGGAAGGACAGAUGUCAUGCCACCAGGGCUCCCUGAGCCAGCCUGCCUCCUGCUCCCUCUCCUUCACUACAGCUUGUCUGAAAAGACCCAAAUCGGACAACUGCAUCCUUUGCACAGCCUUGUUCAGUGCUAUGAACUAAUGGCCCUGGCAAGGGAUGAUAUUUUCCCCAUUGACUGUGUAAAUCCAUGUUUUCUUUGGGCUGCAGCAUGCAGUGUGGCAGACCUGUGAAGACCCCACACAAAUAAAUAGGACCUGGACCACAUGCAGAUGCACCUGGCAGAAGUGAGGUUCUUUGAUUUAUUUGGCUACAGCGAGGAAGCAGGAACUUGGCAGUGUUUCAUGUGCAAUAACCCUGAAAAGGCAACAGUUGUAAAUCAGGAUGGCCAACCUCUGAUGGAAGGCAAGCUUAAAGAGAAGCAAGUCCGGUGGAAGUUUAUCAAAAGGUGGAAAACUCGCUACUUCACCCUGGCUGGCAACCAGCUGCUUUUUCGGAAAGGAAAAUCUGAAUGGAGGUUUUUUGCUUUCACUUCUACCCUCAUCUAAAUUCAGAGAAAUUCUGCUGAAAUGCCUGUGGAAUUGUUUGAAAUUCAUACUGAUUGGACUCAGAGACAAGUGUGUCCCAGGGCGUGGAAGAGCAGGUAGUUGAAUCCAAUACUCAUUAGUCAUUAUUUCUCAAUUAUUAGAAAAUAACUUUCUUCAGCUUUUCACAAUGAAAAUUAUUAUUAGCCUUUUCCCGACUCUCUAGUGACUUUUUCUGAUGUUUUGGCUGAGAUUCUGAAGACAGUUUAACCCGUACAUGUACCCUAACUAUAGCUCAGUACUGGCUGAUGCUCACUUUUGAAAGAGGGUCAAAAUAAUUGUCAUUAUUUAGCAAGUUGAUUGGCUUAUAGAAAUGUAUUUAACAGAAUGGCUUUAACUAGCUCACCAAACAAGCCAGGCAUAAGGCACAUCAGAAUACCUUGAUUACUCCUGGGAUGCAAUUGCCUCCUUAGAUUUGUAUUCUCAGUGCUCCCCCUGUUCAUGCAGGGACAUACAAUGCGUCACAGGCAGGUGAAGCUGGCCGUUUAGAUAGUUGAACAGCAGAUUUUGCUCAACAGAUUGACUUUCCCUUUUUAACUGGCAAACUCAAGGCUUCUUUGCUUCUUUUUAAAGUUGAACACAAAUACCUGGACUGGUUCGUCAGUGUAGCAGGCUGGCAUCCAGCCCCUCAGGGGCAGCAGCAGGGUUAUUGUGUCUGAGUAAUCAGUCUUUCAAGCUGGUGCAUUAUAUCCUUUUGCUUCUAUAUUUUAUAUCCUGUUACUUUUACAUUUUUUGCCUAAAUUCGCAAGUCAAGUCCCGCUCUUAACCACUGCUUGGGUUACUGCCUGAAGCAAUCCUAAGCCCACUGGUUUAGGUUGUACAUGUGCCCUGAGCUGACUGUUGCAGACACCAAACACAAAAUUUUGAGCUCUUUAAUCAGGGCUGGAGGUAUGAAACCUGGACUCAGUGGUUUGGACAAUAAAAGUGUGAUUUUCAGACCCCAUGGGAGGUGUGCUCCUGUGCACCUCUGGCACCCAGCGGCAGGACCAGCCUCGCACCUUGCCAGCUGAGCGCGGGUGCCAAUAGUAUAGCAAGAUGCAGCGCUCCAGGCUGUGGUCAGCUAAAGCAGCAGU